GCCAGGCACAGUGGUGGUAUGCAGUCUUUAGGCUGAGGAGGGAGGAUCACUUGAGCCUGGGAGUUCUGGGCUAUAGUACACUACGCUGAUUAGGUGUCUGCACUAAGUGUGGUGUCAGUAUGGUAACCUCCCGGGAGCUGGGGACCACCAGAUUGCCUAAGGAGGGGUGAACCUGCCCAAGUUGGAAAUGGAGUAGGUCAAAACUGCUGUGCUGAUUAGUAGUGGUAUCGUGGUAUCGCGUCUAUGAAUAACCACUGUACUCCAUCCAGCCUGGCAACAUAGUGAGAUCCCAUCUCA
rnacentral:SRP_RNA from 1 species